rnacentral:rRNA from 1 species
CCCACCAUGCAUUGUCCCUGGUCCAGAUAAUGGACCUAGGUUAGAAUUCCAACCAUACUAGGGUGGUAUUUCAAGGAUGGCUCCACUCAAGACUAGCGUCUAAGUUUCAAAGCCUACCACCUAUCCUACACAAGUAGGAUCAAAAUUCAAUGCAAAGCUGUAGUAAAGGUGCACGGGGUCUUUCCGUCUGGCCGCGGGUAUACUGCAUCUUAACAGCAAUUUCAAUUUCACUGAGUCUCGGGUAGAGACAGUGUAGCCCUCGUUACGCCAUUCGUGCAGGUCGGAACUUACCCGACAAGGAAUUUCGCUACCUUAGGACCGUUAUAGUUACGGCCGCCGUUUACUUGGGCUUCGAUCAAAAGCUUCGGAUAAAUCCUAACCUCAUCAAUUAACCUUCAAGCACCGGGCAGGCGUCACACCCUAUACGUCCACUUACGUGUUUGCAGAGUGCUGUGUUUUUAAUAAACAGUCGGAGCCACCUGGUAUCUUCAACUCUUACCAGCUUCAUUUAGCAAGUAAAAUUACCGGCAAGAGCACACCUUCUCCCGAAGUUACGGUGUCAUUUUGCCUAGUUCCUUCACCCGAGUUCUCUCAAGCGCCUUAGAAUUCUCAUCUCGUCCACCUGUGUCGGUUUGGGGUACGGUUUCAUAUAACCUGAAGCUUAGAGGAUUUUCCUGGAAGUAUGGUAUCACGCACUUCUCCCAAAAGAGGGAUCGUUAUCACGCCUUAAAAUAUAGAGUUCCGGAUUUUCCUAAAACUCAUUUCUACACGCUUGAACUUGGACAACCAUAGCCAAGCUGCGCUAACCUUCUCCGUCUUCCCAUCGCAGUUAUAUGAAGUAUAGGAAUAUUAACCUAUUUCCCAUCGACUACGCAUUUCUGCCUCGCCUUAGGGGCCGACUAACCCUACGCCGAUUAACGUUGCGUAGGAAACCUUGGACUUCUGGCGAGGGGGUUUUUCACCCCCUUUAUCGUUACUCAUGUCAGCAUUCGCACUUCUGAUACCUCCAGUAAACCUUACAGUUUACCUUCAACGGCUUACAGAACGCUCUCCUACCAUUGCAAUAAAUUGCAAUCCGUAGCUUCGGUAUGUAGUUUUAGCCCCGUUAAAUCUUCCGCGCAAACCGACUCGACCAGUGAGCUAUUACGCACUCUUUAAAGGAAUGGCUGCUUCUAAGCCAACUUCCUGGCUGUCUUGGCCUUUUCACAUCGUUUCCCACUUAACUACAAUUUUGGGACCUUAGCUGACGGUCUGGGUUGUUUCCCUUUCCACUACGGACGUUAGCACCCGCAGUGUGUCUCCCAUGCUCAUACUUGUCGGUAUUCGGAGUUUGCAAUGGCUUACUAAGUCUUGACGACCCGCUAACCAUAACAGUGCUCUACCCCCGACAGUAAUACAUGAGGCUCUACCUAAAUAGAUUUCGGAGAGAACCAGCUAUCUCCGGGUUUGUUUGGCCUUUCACCCCUAUCCACAGCUCAUCCCCUCAUUUUUCAACAUAAGUGGGUUCGGGCCUCCAGUUAGUUUUACCUAACCUUCACCCUGGCCAUGGAUAGAUCACCCGGUUUCGGGUCUACUCCCAGCAACUAAACGCCCAUUUAAGACUCGGUUUCCCUACGGCUCCCCUAUUUGGUUAACCUUGCUACUGAGAAGUAAGUCGCUGACCCAUUAUACAAAAGGUACGCAGUUACAGAAUAAAUCUGCUCCUACUGCUUGUAUGCAUACGAUUUCAGGUUCUAUUUCACUCCCCUCCCGGGGUUCUUUUCGCCUUUCCCUCACGGUACUUGUUCACUAUCGGUCAUUAGAGAGUAUUUAGCCUUGGA